rnacentral:lncRNA from 1 species
GUGACUUCGCUGUUUGUUAUUAUCCUUCUGGGAUGAAUACCUAUUUCUCGGUUGUUAAAUUAUCGCAAUUUUACAUAAAAAAAUACUCUAAAGGAUUGAUUGUAAACAUCGUUUGACAUGUUUCUACAAACGUCCAAGUGACAGCCAGGAAUAAGCUGACCAAGACAGAGCAUCAGAAUCAGAGGCUGCCAUCCCUGCUUGAUGAGCCUGUGGCUUUUAAUAUGCCCGCUGGAUACAGUGAAGAUCUUCAAGCAGUGGAGAUGAGGAUAAUAAUGAAACUGGAGAUGAUCCGUACAGAGUUCAAGACUGCUCUGAACCAAGUUAUGGAGGCCAUAGAGGCCCGGCAGCCAAUGGAGUCAGAGUCCUUGGGGCAACUUGAAAUGCUGCAAAACCCUAC